GAUGAACGCUGGCGGCGUGCUUAACACAUGCAAGUCGAACGGAAAGGCCCAAGCUUGCUUGGGUACUCGAGUGGCGAACGGGUGAGUAACACGUGGGUGAUCUGCCCUGCACUUCGGGAUAAGCCUGGGAAACUGGGUCUAAUACCGGAUAGGACCACAUUUUGGAUGGUGUGGUGGAAAGUUUUUCGGUGUGGGAUGAGCUCGCGGCCUAUCAGCUUGUUGGUGGGGUAAUGGCCUACCAAGGCGUCGACGGGUAGCCGGCCUGAGAGGGUGGACGGCCACGAUGGGGCUGGAAUACGGGGCGGACGCCGGCGGGAGGCAGCGGGGGGGGAUGUGGCACAAUGGGGGGGAGCAUGAAGCCGCGACGGCGCGGGGAGGGUGACGGGCGUCGGGUUGGAAACUCCUGUCGCCAGGGACAAAACGGUGUGGGACGGUACGUGGAGAAGAGGCACCGGCUAAGGACGUG
rnacentral:rRNA from 1 species